rnacentral:rRNA from 1 species
GUGGGGAAUCUUAGACAAUGGGGGAAACCCUGAUCUAGCCAUGCCGCGUGAUCAAUGAAGGCCUUAGGGUUGUAAAGAUCUUUCAGGUGGGAAGAUAAUGACUGUACCACCAGAAGAAGCCCCGGCUAACUCCGUGCCAGCAGCCGCGGUAAUACGGAGGGGGCUAGCGUUGUUCGGAAUUACUGGGCGUAAAGCGCACGUAGGCGGAUUGGAAAGUUGGGGGUGAAAUCCCGGGGCUCAACCCCGGAACUGCCUUCAAAACUUCCAGUCUUGAGUUCGGGAGAGGAGAGUGGAAUUCCGAGUGUAGAGCUGAAAAUCUUAGAUAUUGGGCGGAACAACAGUGGCGAAGGCGGCUCACUGGCUCGAUACUGACGCUGAGGUGCGAAAGCGUGGGGAGCAAACAGGAUUAGACACCCGAGUAGUCC